rnacentral:rRNA from 1 species
UACGGAGGGUGCAAGCGUUAUCCGGAUUUAUUGGGUUUAAAGGGUGCGUAGGCGGCUUUGUAAGUCAGCGGUGAAAUUUUCCGGCUUAACCGGAUUCGUGCCGUUGAUACUGCUUGGCUUGAGUAUGGUCGAGGGCGGCGGAAUGUGCGGUGUAGCGGUGAAAUGCUUAGAUAUCGCACAGAACACCUAUUGCGAAGGCAGCUGCCUAGGUCAUUACUGACACUGAUGCACGACAGCGUGGGGAUCGAACAGG